rnacentral:rRNA from 1 species
GAUGAACGCUGGCGGCGUGCCUAAUACAUGCAAGUCGAGCGAACAGAUGAGGAGCUUGCUCCUCUGACGUUAGCGGCGGACGGGUGAGUAACACGUGGAUAACCUACCUAUAAGACUGGGAUAACUUCGGGAAACCGGAGCUAAUACCGGAUAAUAUAUUGAACCGCAUGGUUCAAUAGUGAAAGACGGUUUUGCUGUCACUUAUAGAUGGAUCCGCGCCGCAUUAGCUAGUUGGUAAGGUAACGGCUUACCAAGGCAACGAUGCGUAGCCGACCUGAGAGGGUGAUCGGCCACACUGGAACUGAGACACGGUCCAGACUCCUACGGGAGGCAGCAGUAGGGAAUAUUGCACAAUGGGCGGAAGCCUGAUGCAGCAACGCCGCGUGCGGGAUGACGGCCUUCGGGUUGUAAACCGCUUUCGCCUGUGACGAAGCGUGAGUGACGGUAAUGGGUAAAGAAGCACCGGCUAACUACGUG